rnacentral:rRNA from 1 species
UACGUAGGGGGGCGAGCGUUGUCCGGAUUUAUUGGGCGUAAAGAGCUCGUAGGCGGUUCGGUAAGUCGGAUGUGAAAUCUCCACGCUCAACGUGGAGGGGCCAUUCGAUACUGCCGUGACUCGAGUCCGGUAGGGGAGUGUGGAAUUCCCGGUGUAGCGGUGAAAUGCGCAGAUAUCAGGAAGAACACCCGUGGCGAAGGCGGCUCUCUGGGACGGUACUGACGCUGAGACGCGAAAGCGUGGGGAGCGAACAGG